GGGAUUUGUAGUUCAAUUGCAGAACAUCAGCUUCCCAAGCUGAGAAUGCGGGUUCGGUUCCCGUCACCCG
rnacentral:tRNA from 1 species